CCCACACACUAACAGGAAGUAUACUAUACAACAUACCAUCACGUGCAGGACUACACAUGUAAUAUAUAAACUUACAUGUCCAUGUGGACUGGUUUAUGUCGGUAAAACCGAAACUGCCCUAUGUGAAAGAAUCAGAGGCCACCGGUCCAGUAUCAGGUUAGCAGGUAUACAGGGAUGGAUCAUCUGAUAAACCAGUGGCCAAACACUUCCUGCAACACAGAC